GGGGGCGUACUGGAUUCGAUUUGGAUUCUUACGCCAGAUUGCAAGCAGAGGAUGAUGGUUGGCCUCUUAAAACAUCUAUCAAAAAAACAUAAAUGCCAACGAUAACGUUGACAUGGAGUUCGCUCCUUCAGUAGCUGAAGCUGAC
rnacentral:tmRNA from 1 species